CGUAUUGAACACAGAUAGCAUGGAAUUAACCAAGAGAAUGAUACCCAAGUUUAAUGGCACCGGGUGUUUUCAAUUCUACAGAUAAUACCUGUUGGAUUGACUAAAUGUUUUCAUGAAUAAAAGGCACUGUGUCCCACGGUGCUAGAGGCAAGAUAAAUCAUUUUGCCGUUUUGAACAUCACUUUCAGAGAUGCUCUCCCCACCACAUUCUUUCUCAAGCUACAAUACAACACGGUGAACUUGGUUUAAGUUUUUCUGUUUCCAGCGUGUAACCAGCUGUGCCUCCCUGCAAGUGCACCCAGGUCACCAAAUUUGGAUUUGGGGGCUUUCUAGAUGGUCUCUUUGUGCUUUCUGUUGAUGACCGAUUUCAUUCUAUGUAUUUGCUCUCUUUCUGAAAUUUAAGUAUCUAUUGGCCCCGUUGUUGGUUUGAAACCUUGGGAGCUUCGCGGGUGAAAUCUGAAAUUGUUCUCCAUACACAGAGGGUGAGUAGAGACCGAGGAAAAGGGUGAACACCCUCAGAUUGGUAGGUAGGAGGUUUAAUAAGCAAGGCUUGUCACGGGUAGCUGUAAGUCGUAAAUCGCACGCACCCACCAGAAUCUUAAGAGUUUACGUAGAAGCCUUGACAGGGUCAGUCAUGGGUACUGUCCAGAUGACCUCAACACACGUUGCUCUCUCCAGGCUAUUUCUUGAAAAUGGAUCCUAGCACGGGAACAGCAGGCAGGGUGUACACGCCAAGGAUGGAAGAGGAUGAGAAGCCUCCGAUUCUCCAGUCCAGCCUGAGGGUCAACUGGUAAUCAGUGUCCUCCUGAUGACUUCCUCUACCACCCACUUAACCCAUCCAAGAACCGAAACAUUGAUCCGCGAUCAUGAUUACCACUCGUCACAAGCUCAGAUGACAGCAUGUUGUGGCAAGAAAAUCUUUUUUAAAGUAUUUUUAAUUAAGGGAAAGAGACAAAAAUGUGGAGAACGCACACCUGCCUAUCAACGCUUUCAGCCCGGAAGCCACGCACAUCAUCACUUCAUUGGUUCUAACUAAGAAAGCACACGGACUGUUUGGUAAGAAUCUAUUGCCUCGCCACGGAGACGAGAACAGGGGCAUUCCAGACUGAGGAGGGAACAUGUACAAAGGCACGAGAGGAUAAAAGUGCACGGUAUGCGUAGGGAAGAGUAAAUGAAUUCAGGACCCAAAAGACCACGAAUGUCAUUUCAUAAGUGGAAGUCUGCUGGGGCCGCCAUUACAAAAUGCCAGAGAUUGGGUGGCUUAAACAACAGAUACUUAUUUUCUCACAGUUCUAGAGGCUGGAAAGUCCGAGAUCAGGGUGCCAGCAGGUGGGUUUCUUCUCAAGCCUCUGUCCUUGGCUUGCAGACGGUGGUCCUUCUGCAUAGUGUCCCCUGAUGUCUCUCUCUCUCUCUCUCUCUCUCUCUCUCUCUCUCUGUGUCUUGAUCUCUUCUUGCAGGGACAGCAGUCAAAUUGGAUUACACCCCACCCUAAUAGCCUCAUUUCAACUUCAUCAUCUCUUUAAAGGUUUAAGUCUCUGAACUAAAUGUUUGUGAUGCCCCCCUGACCAUUCAUAUGUUGAAGCUAUAAUCCCCAGUAUGACUGUAUUCAGAGAGGGGACCUUUCAGGAAGUAAUUAAGGGUAAAUGAGAUCAUAAGGAUGGGGCCUUGAUCAAAUAGGAUUAGUGCUUAAGAGAUCUGGAGUGGGUGCCUAGGUGGCUCAGUGCAUCCGACUCUUGAUCUUGGCUCAGGUUAUGAUCUCACAGUUUGUGAGUUCGAGUCCCGGGUCGGGAUCUGUGCUGCCAGCUCAGCCUGGGGCCUGCUUUGGAUUCUGUGUUUCCCUCUCUCUCUGCCCCUCCCCUGCCUUCACUCUGCCUCUCUCUCAAAAGUAAAUAAACAUUUAAAAAUAUUUUUUUAAUAAAAAAAAAAAAGAGAGACCUGGGAGUCAGCUCUCCCGCUCUCUCUCUGGGCCUGCACAGAGGGGUCUCCUGAGGACACAGCCAGGAGGCGGCUGCGAAAGAGCCAAGGAGAGAUGUGUCAGAAUGAAACCCGCUUUGCCAGCACCUUGGUCUCCAGCCUCAAGAACUGUGAGACAAUAAAUCUCUGCUGUUUAAACCACCCAGUCUGUGGGAUUUUAUUUCAGCAGCCUGAGCAGACGAAGAUAACCUGUGAAUACGGUCACAUUCUGACAUUGUGGUUAGGACUUCCACAUGUGAAUCUGGGCCAGGGGGACUCAAUUCAGCCCACAACAACAGACAAGUGGAAGCUCUCACAGAGGAACAUCAACGUUUGCCUUGUUUUACAUACAGUAAUGAAACAGGGGCAGGUGCGGGGCGUGCAGAGGUGGGGGCCCGGCGAGCAGGUGCAGGCCGAGGUCAGGACGGAAGCAGUGAGGACACGACAGAAUGGAGACUGGAAGAUCUCCAGGUGUGGACCUUGCCCUUGGAGACUGGGUCCGACUCGGUGAGGGAAAGAGAACAGGAUUCCAGGGUUUCCAGCCUCCCUGCCAAGCAGAUGGGGGUAUCAGCGUCCCAAAUGGGAUCCCCAAAAGCAGCAGUCCGUUUGGGCAAAGACAGACCUCGUUUUGUGCAGUGUUGCUGG